GCCCGCCAGUAUUCUGGCGGGCAUGCCUGUUCGAGCGUCAUUUCAACCCUCAAGCCCAGCUUGGUGUUGGGAGCUGCAGCCCUGCUGCACUCCCCAAAUACAUUGGCGGUCACGUCGAGCUUCCAUAGCGUAGUAAUUUACACAUCGUUACUGGUAAUCGUCGCGGCCACGCCGUUAAACCCCAACUUCUGAAUGU
rnacentral:misc_RNA from 1 species